GAAACUCGAACUAGUUUACGGAUAAAGAAAUUUCUCGAGAAGAAUCAGACUUCUCGACUUUUGCUACUACUAUUUACGCUAUUAGGGACAAGUAUGGUCAUUGGCGAUGGUUGUUUGACCCCGACAAUCUCAGUUGUUUCAGCAGUUUCUGGACUCAGAAUUAAGCUUCCAGGUCUUCAUGAAGAUUGAGGUGUCUUCUAGUGAUCAACCCUCGUCCAGUCGAUCAAUUCGACGCUUCGAGCCAACCAGUCAAUUGGAGGACAAACUAGAAUGCGUGCACAGGAAGGUCUU